GUUAACACGCGAAAAAUGCAUGAACUCAUUUUUAAUGUGCCACUUUUUGUAAAAUUGCAUAAAACUAUUGUUUUGCUGAGUGAAGAGGAGGGAGAGUGUUUGCAUAAUAGGGUAUAUAAGGAAUUAAGACAGUUGCAUUCAGUAAGAAAUCAGGAACAGAAGCUGCGUCUUGUUUUAAAACGCUUUGAAUUGCACAGCAAAGCUGAUAGGAAGCUUCAAGCCUCUAAGGUGAGAAAGUGUGUUGUGUGUUCUGAGCGUGGUGAAAAUUCAUUUUAUAGACGAGGCCUUUGUCUUGUUUCUGGUCAUAAAAUUUAGUCUAAAUAAUUAAAAAAUAAAGUUUUAAAAAUAUUUAUUAUUUUUUAUUAUUAAUUUUAUAUAUUAGAUAGGUGCCCAUUUCAUUCUUAUCUUCACAAGUUAUUUAUACUUAUGCAAUACCAUCCAGGUUAAAGAAUGGUACAUAAGUCUUGCAUCAAAUGGGUGUAAAAAUAUAACUUACUACUUUAACUUAUGAGCAGAGCAACUGAUGCCCUUUCAAUUAUAAUCAUCAGAAGUUAGUUCUACCUCUGCAGUACCUCUCCUCAACAUACCUUCUCUCUGGUUAAAGAAUAGAAUUUAAGUCUCAUAAAUAACAAAAUGGAGCAUGAAUCUAAUAUCAACCGGGUGUUCAAAGAUCGUUUUCUACUUAAAGGACAGAAUCAGUAGAUCAACUUAUUAUAAAACAGUUUUAUAUGAGAAUAAAAACACAUCAAACA